rnacentral:misc_RNA from 1 species
AAAAAAUUCUUAAAUUUUAAUUUUAUUUCACAUAAAUCUCUCUAACCUGCUAUAAUAGGUUUAUAGGUUAAAAAAACAAUGAGACUACAUUUUUACCUUCUUUCCUCACACUAAAAAAAAAGGGCCAUUUCAACUUCAUAUAUACUUAUCACAAAAAUAUCAAUGCUAUCACAACGAUAUGCUUCCUUGAAAGGAGGAUUUACCAUUCGUUGAACAGUAUUAAAGUUGUAUUUGUAGACGUUACACUGGAGUUUAGAGAGAUUUUUUAAUAUGGAAGCAUGCUAUUGCAGGUUGGAAAGAUUUUUUGUGAAGCAAUAUUAAAGUUUAGGGAUUUUUUAGU